rfam:Paludibacter propionicigenes WB4, complete genome.
GGUCCUGUAGUUCAAUGGAUAGAACAAGUGUUUCCUAAACACUAGAUCCGGGUUCGAUUCCCGGCGGGACUA